rnacentral:lncRNA from 1 species
GCUGCCUGGGUCGGCUGGGCCUGUGGGCCUGCGUCCGACAGCGCGCGGCCGUGCUUUCUAAGCGGGCUCGGCAGCACCAGACUUCACCGGCCCGGCGCGGGGCUCACAAGUGCUCGCACUCCCUGCGGCCGGCGCGCUGACCGGAGCCUCUGGGUCUCGCACGCAGCAGCUGCAGACGCUGCCCGGCGCGGUGGGGCUGUGAGCAAAACGGCCCGCCGGUGUGGUUGCCCAGACUGUGCUGGGCCCUCCUAGGUGGAUGGCCCUGCCCCAGCCUAACUUCUGUACCCCAGCAUAACCUCCAAAGUAACAGCCGUGCCCUGGGAGCCUGUUCAACACUGAACAUAUCCCACAAUAACACUGUUCCAGCGUCGCUGGUAAAAAGCAGAAAUGGCUUCGCUGGAGGCAUCGACAAAUCUAAUGCAGUAACCUCAUUUUACAGAAGAGAACUCUAAGAGGAUAACUAACUUGGCCAAGAUCACAUGAUGUUUCUGGAUGAGAUUAGCAUUCAAAUUCGUGGACUCAUUAAAGUAGAUGGCUCUCUCCAAUAUGGGUGGGCAUCAUCCAAUCUGUUGAAGGCGUGAAGAGAACAAGAGAAGGAGGAAGGAAGAAUUCACCUUUUUUCUUGCUGCCCACCUGCUUGGGCUGGGACAUUGCAUCUCACCUUCUCCAGCCUUUGGAUGAGGAUUUACACCCUGGUUCUCAGGCCUUCAGGCUCUAACUGGAGCUACACUAUCAACUUUCCUGGGCCUCCAGAUUGCAGAUGGUGGAUCACGGUACUUUUUAGCCUCCAUCAUAAUAUGAGAAAAAAGAGGCACAGUGAAGCUAAAUAUAUUGGCUAAAGAUCACAAAGCUAAGUUGAAAUUUUUCAAGAUGAAAAGUUGCUAAAGAAAGAGAAAGGGAAGCGGUUUGCUCCAGUAUUCCUCUUUCCACCUUCCCACUGACUGGGAAGCGGCGGUUAGCAGAGCCACAGUCUUGGAUUAGAGAUAAGAGGGACAUGUUGAGGAAGGUGGAGUCUCCCCCACAGCCCUGGACCAGAAAUUAGUUGAUAACGUCUUCCAGGAGACCUACGGCCAUCCUACUGAUAUGAACCAGAUCAUACCUGCCCUGAUGGGAUGCCAGAGAAAGACUGCUGCAAGGUACGCGCCACUCACAGACCUCUCCAUUUAUCUCACUGAUGCAAAGGACCCUGAGUAGGGAUCCUCUGGAAACAGAACAGAGGGAAGAAGAUACCUUCCCUGAAGCCCAGAUGUUCCAGAAGCCUGCGCCUCAUUCACAAAGUCACCCCAAAAAUGCCCUAGAGUUUGGAGUUUUGAAGAAGCGGGAAGAAGGCCUGAGUAAGGGCCUGGGAACCAAGUUAGAUCCUACUUCAGCAUCAGCACAUGCCAGCGAUGGUGCACACAGGUGGAGAGCGGCCUGCCCGUCUUUUCCAUGGUGCCCACAGACCCAUUUAGGAUGAAAGAUCAGAAAAUUCUCUCCAUGUCACCGCUUCUGAAACAUGUGAAUAUUAAUAUUUGGUGCCUAAAAGGCCAUGGCAAAUUUUCAUUGGUUUUAUCUUAUUCAUGAUUAUAGAGUUGAAAGAAUACAUAUUCCCAUGGGGAUCAAUGAAGACAUUCUCAUUUUGAAUGAAGUAGAAUAUAAGUUGUAAAGAUAUAGAAUUUUCCUGAACUGAACCUUGAACCAAAAAUCCCCUCAAUUAACCUGGAACUAAACACAGUCCCUGAAGAUAACAAGGAGUUUCAGGAUGCCACAGGGCUGUCUGUGCAGUAUGGGGCUUCUUGCUCUAUCUCUGGUAUCUGAGGCAGAUAGGCUACUCAGGCCCCUCUCUGGUCUCAAGGUGGGCUGGCUGAGAUGUCAGUUUCUUCCUCAGUGACAGCUUGGGUACAGUAUGUGUAAACUGAUUGUCAGCUGAGCUGAAGGGACUCUGCCCAUAUUGGAGUGUUCUACAAGAAGAGGUGUCAAACCUAAAGGUCUAAAAUUACUAUGAAAGGAGUAUUGGAAACCACUGGGACAAUUGUGAUCACAACUGGUGGUAGCCUUCUCGUUUGGGUGAGAAAGACAGAAAGGAGGAAGAUGUGUUAGUCAAGGUUCUCUAGAGGGACAAAACUAAUAGGAUAUAUGUAUAUAUGAGAGGGAGUUUAUUAAGGAGAAUUGACUCACUUGAUCACAAGGUAAAGUCCCAAGAUAGGCUGUCUGCAAGUUGAGGAGCAAGGAAGUCAUUGGUGGAUUGUUCUGGGUACCAAAACCUCAAAAGUAGGGAAAUCGACAGUGCAGCCUUCAGUCUGUGGUCAAAGGCUCGAGGGGCCCUGGCAGACCACUGGUGUAAGUCCAAGAGUCCCAGAAGCUGAAGAACUUGGAGUCUGAUGUUUGAGGGCAGGAAGCAUCCAGCACAGGAGAAAGACGGAUGCUGGAAGACUUAGCAAGUCUGUUCUUUCCAAUUUCUUCUGCCUGCUUUUAUUCUAGCCAUGCUGGCAGCUGAUUAGAUGGUGCCCUCCCAAAUUGAGGGUGGCUGUGCCUCUCCCAGUCCACUGACUCAAAUGUUAAUCUCCUUUGGCAACACCCUCACAGACACACCCAGGAACAAUACUUUGCAUCCUUCAUUCCAAUCAAGUUGACACUCAAUAUUAACCAUCACAGAAGGAGAAUUUCAGGCUGAGUCCAAACACUAUGGCCCCAGCCCCAGCUUCCCCUUUCUGGGUUGAAUAACCAGACUGAGCCUAAGAAAAGGAAAAGAGUUGACUUUCUCCCAAAAGGCCUGCAGCGGGUUAGAAAGCAAUGGUUUGGGGACCAUACUGAGUGCCUAGGAUGCUCUGGACCACAAAGCUUGAAGUCAAAUUGUUCAUGCACUUGUUUCAUGAUAGGAAGAGAGAGAGAGAGAGAGAGAGAGAGAGAGAAAUUUCCUUUCCUUGAAGAAUGGCAAAACACGUCUCUUGUUCUGGGGGCUAUAUCUUGAAGGGUAUCUGAUCUCCCCCUCAUGGGAGGAACUAGAAUGCCCUAAGGCAGCCGUGGCUCCUGGAGCUGAGAGAUCUUUCUGACACUUUGUGAGAGCUGCAAGGCUAAGUCUGGAGCCAGAAAAGUCCAUGUGGACAAGUGCAGAGCAAGCAGAUCUGAGACACAUGUGGGAGCAAGCUGGACAUGUCCAAAAGUCAGAGGAAGCAAGAGCAGACAUGCAUGAGCAGGCAGAUGAGGCUGGUGCCCAGGCAGCAGGCUGAGGCUCUGGCUGGGCUUUGGAUGCUCCUGAGAGUCCAGUUAGAGACCAGUGAGCAAACCCACAGUGAACUCUUAUUCCUCACGCAGCAGGACGAGGGAUUAAGCACAAAGCCUUAAAGGUCUGAGUGUCUCUUUAUCCUGACCUCAGGAAAGAGAGGCAAGUAUCAUGUUUCUAAAAGUCUGAGAAGUCUUCACAUGACAGCCUACACCAAAAGAACUCAAAUGCACAUCCACUGCAUACACGCAUGUGUGCACACAUAUACAUGUGUACACAUGCAUGCCCACACACAACCCUCUGGAAGAGGAAGUAAAGAGACUUUAUGUUUUCAGCCCCUCUUGAGGAAACUUAAACUAAGUCUUUCUGUGGGGUUAGUGGUGGAGACAGAGAGGGUCUGGGGUCACCGAGGCCGAGGUGGCUGGACCCAGAGGGUAGAGCUGAGGGGAUCCCCUGAGACUGGGAAGAUGGAGCAGAAGCAGAUGGCAGAUGGCAGCAGGUGAGAGCAGACUGGAUUUCUCCUAAAUCACCAGAUCCAGCCAACCUUUCUUUCCUUAGGGACACCUCUAGAUCCCAUUCCAAAUGAACUCUUUCUCUGACCUUUCACCUCAAUUCAGAAUUUGGGAAAUUUAGCCAUGAUCUUAGGAACACAGAGGCUUGAAACAAUCUUUUCUAACCACCCGUUUGUUCAGACUGUGUAAGUUCUGCUUCUGCAUCCAGUGUCAACACCCAAGAACCAUUUUAAAGGGGAGCCAUCCUUUGAAAUUAAACUUCUUUUAAUAAUAAAGACAGAUUUCAGGGUUGACAUAAAAGAUAGCCACAGUAAAGCCAAUCCUCCAGUGUAUAACAUUUUUCAAAGUUUCCUUCCUCUUCAUUGCUGGUGUUCAUGUACAGUCCAGAGUUAGUCUACAUUAAAUUAUAGAUUGUUUUCAGCAAUAAUGCAAACAUUUGGAAGCCUUCAAACUCUCUGAUAACUAACUUCUACAUUCUCUCUGCUAUUAUUAUAUAGAAAGGGAAAUUUUACCUGAUGCUGUUAAAGUCCUCACGAACAUAGUGAUCCGAAUUGGCUGAAGUGGAAAACUAAAUGUUAGCUGAUUUUCAAAACAAGAUUUCCACUCUGAAUUCCCAUUUUUCACAUGUGAUCAUAUGCCUUGUUGUGAAGUUGAACUAAAAAGAAACUCCAUGCCCACUGGCUUAAUGCUAGAAGAUAAUCUACAGCAUAGUAAUUUCUUAGACUUCACUUUAUUAGCCACUAAACUUGGAAUGAUUAUUUCUAUGUUCAAUUAUUAAGUCUAUAUCUCCAUUUCUUAAAAAGGUCUGAGGCAGCCCCUUUGAAUAUUAAUACGCAUUUAUUUUCACCUCUCAAAUAAAAAAAUAGUUCACAGUG